AGCGACGUCACCAACCCAUAGCCGCAUGUGUUUCAUUUCAAGAAAAAAAAUGUAGGUUUGGUUGGGGGAGAUCCUAAAAGAGGGCAACUAAUGCUGAGACCCUUUGAUAUUGGUUUGCUUUUCCCUGUAUCGCGCUGCUUCGUCUAUGUUCAGAUGUCGCCCCAGCCCUUACCGGGAUGAGUAAACGCUGGGGUUCAGCUCACCGACAGAGGGCGGACUGGCGCGGUGCAAAGCUUGGUAUCACUCCGCUUGCCUAAGGCCGGAUCCCCUUCACUGCGCUCUAGCUCCUCCCGCUGCUGAUUUGGGUACCGGGGACGUGGCGAAGCGAGGUCUGCGGAGGAAAAGGUAGCUGUUAAUUAGCCGCUAGGUGUGGGUCCCGGAGGAGCUUUGGGGACGGGAGGUAGGGAAUACCAAAAAGUAGCAAUUGUUUGCCAGUUACGGCCCUUAAUCUGAUAAAGCAGGUAUCGCGUCCUAAAUCCCCGGUGCCGGGCCAAUCCCCAAACACAGUCGCCGCCAUUGUCUCGUGCGCUCGCGUCCAUCUGACUGUCCGUCCCUCUUUCUGUAGGGCACGGCACCCCUUCAGGCAAGGAGAUAAGAAAACUGCCUCUGAUCCAAGCAGAGCAGGUCCAACUUCAGUGGCAGAUCUGGUGGCCUUGGAGUGGCUGAAGACCACAACCCUCCACAGGGCUGCGUUCAGGCACACAGCCAUUCUUCCCUUACCUGAGUGAGCUUCCUCUGCACGUUGUUUAUAUCAUUGGCAGAGCCUGUAGUUGGAAAGGGGGCCGAGUGACGAAUGGACUUUGUAUGAAAACACCAACCUGGGACAGACCUUCAGUCAAGGUUGAGAUGGGGUUGGGGUGUAUAACUUGGCCUUGGCUUUAACUUGGAUCAUGACUGGCUCUGAGGCUAAGGCAGGGGCAGAGCAGAGCCUGGGGCUGCCCUAAAAGCUGGAAUCAGUGGCCCUGCCAACACUAGAGCCAAAGCUAAGAUCCAGGCCAAGGCAGUGGCUGAGGCAGAACUGAAAACAGGACCAGUGACCCAGGCCAAUGCUGGGGUUGGAGCAGUGGCCAGGACACAGACAGUAA
rnacentral:lncRNA from 1 species